ensembl:lncRNA
GAGAAACGAAAAGUCACAAAGCACAAGGCACGGGAACAGGGAGAGGUGAAGAAUUGCGCCAGCGGGUCAAUCUACCACACUUUACUAUCCCACGGAAAGACGACACCGAAAAAACAACACCAUCAGGCGCUGAGUGGUGAAGGCGACUGCAGACCUUGCUGUAAAAUGGAACGGGGUCUCAGGGAAGCCAUUUACCUGUACGUGGCAAUAUGGCAAAACAACGGCCAGGGGGCACCUGGGAUUGAACCGGGGACAUCUGGACCUGCAGCCAAGGGCUCUAGCCUUGAGCCACGCCCCCUGGCCUGCUGGGGGCCCCUCCUGACAUUAUUUCACCUGUGUUGCCAUGCCCCAGAUUCCAUAGUGGACUCUAAGUUCUAGUCCUACUUGGGCCACCUCUGGAACUGGCAGAGCCACCACACACUGACUGGAGACCACUCACUGGCCAUGAGUUCGCCUCGUCAUUCCUCAGAGGCCCCUCACUUGUCUACCAGGAUGCAAUCGGAAAGUCGGGCAUUCUUCCCUGGCAGCAGGUGAUCCGGGCAAAAUUGAAGUCUCCUGCUUUGUCACUGUGUGCCAACGACGGCCAGGUUCAAAUUCCCGAAUAACUACCAAGAUGGUCCUAACAAAACCAGACACUCAGUGCCAUAUGCCCCUCACGGCCUGCACCCCACCCCCAGUACCAGUUGACACACUGUCUGCAUUCUGUCAAAAACAGAAACCGAUGAUGGCUCCUUGAGACAAAUAAGGAAACUAUUGGCAGGAUGGGAAAAGUCUCACCACACCAAACGUAGCUAGAGAUCUGCGCUAGGAAAUGGGCAGGACUAAAGGGCAGCCGCGCAGGCAGAAUCGUUGACCUCAAAAGGCAUCCUGCUUUAUGGGGCUGAUGAUGCCCCACUGGACACUGCCUGCAGCCAGCGGCCCCACUGCCAAUGCCAGCCCCCUGGCUCCGCUGGAGGAAAUUCCCAACUCCUCCUGCUUCUGGGUAAAUCAUUCAUGUUCCAGGUCUCAAUCAGCUACAGGUGACUGGCUAAGCCUGAGCUACGGCCGGGGCUCAGGGACGGCAGCACCUGGUAUUCCCGGCUUUCAUAGUAUUGUGAGAUCCCGGCUUCCACCAGUCAUACACGGCUCUGGAUCCCCAAAGUACAAAGGAAUUUCAAGUGUUGGGGCUGUAAGAAGAUCGUUACAAACACCCACCACAGGUAGCCCAAGUGAGGCUGCAUCACUGCCACAAUCACGAAUGGUGGGAAGCGUUGGUGCUGCCAGAGCCCGGGAGGCUUUCUGGCACAGGCCCCACCUGCCUCUUCCUCUGCCCUCUUGCAGGAAGAUGCCGUUAGCUGCAACGGCGACACCGGCUCUGAGUAAAAUCACAGCCUGGUCCAUACACUGGAAUUUUAUCCAGCAACAAAAAUAAAUGAGCUCUCAAGCCACAAAAAGACACGCAGGAACCUUAAAUGCCUAUUACUAAGGGAAAGAAGCCAAGCUGAACAGGCUACACCGCAUGCGAUUCCACCGCUAUGGCAUUCUGGAAAAGGGAGAUCCGUGGACAGUAAGAAGAUCAGUGGGUGCCAG